GGCAAGCCCAUGAAGUCCUAGCAACAAGGCAAAGGCUGAAUUUGCUCCAGACACCUAUGGAUUUGCCGUCGGUAAAUCAGGGUAACUCUGAUCUCUUCCACUGCUAACACAGACAGUUGUGAAUCUCCUGCCUCUAAAAUUACGCUCCACAAGACAAACUCAUCCACUCCUCCGUCUUCUCAUCCCCAAGGCCUAAGACAUCUCUGACCUUAUCUCCAAAUACAGUCACCUUCCAAGAUACUGAGGAUUAAGACAUCAACAUAUGGAUUUAAGGGGACACAAUUCAACCCCUUGCAAAGAGCUACAGAUAUCUUUAUUCUACUACUCAUAAAAUGUCUUAGGAAUACAAUAGCCAUUAGAACAUUAACUGGUUGCAAAAGGUUGAAUUGCUGAAGAAACCAGCUGUUUUUCAGAAAGAGAAAAAGCUUUCAUGCAGCAUUCUUCAUUUAGAAGUGGAAUCUCCCUCUGUCAACCAGGCUGGAGUGCAUUGGCUUGAUGUCAGAUCUUGGAUCACCGCAGCCUCCGUCUCCUGGGUUCAAGUGAUUCUCCCGCCUCAGCCUCUCGAGCAGCUGGGACUACAGGAAGGCACCACCAUGCCUGGCUAAUUAUAAGUCUUUUGACUCACUCUUGUUCGUCCUACUUUCUUUUGCUUUUAUAUUCCAGUCAAACCAAAUUUCUCAUGGCUUUACGCAACUUUGACUUUAUAAGUUCUGCCCUACCAGCCUCUUGGACUUACCUUCUCUAUUUUUAACUGCCUAGUUCUUAUUAAAGACUGAAGUAAAGCACCUGCUUUCUGUGAAGCAUUUCUUCCAACUCCCUCACACAACAUGAAUUGCUCUCUGCUUUGUCUUCUAACAGUCUUUCAGUGCUACC
rnacentral:lncRNA from 1 species